rnacentral:rRNA from 1 species
GUCGAGAAUAAUUCACAAUGGACGAAAGUCUGAUGGUGCAACGCCGCGUGGAGGAUGAAGGUCUUCGGAUUGUAAACUCCUGUCAUCGGGGAGUAAGACCUGGCGGUAAAUAGCCGACAGGGUUGAUAGUACCCGAAGAGGAAGGGACGGCUAACUUCGUGCCAGCAGCCGCGGUAAUACGAAGGUCCCAAGCGUUGUUCGGAAUCACUGGGCGGAAAGGGAGCGUAGGCGGCGUGGUAAGUCAGAUGUGAAAUCCCGGGGCUCAACCCCGGAACUGCAUCCGAUACUGCCAUGCUUGAGGGUUGGAGAGGUAGCUGGAAUUCUCGGUGUAGCAGUGAAAUGCGUGGAUAUCGAGAGGAACACUCGUGGCGAAGGCGAGCUACUGGACAACAUCUGACGCUGAGGCUCGAAGGCCAGGGGAGCAAAAGGGAUUAGAAACCCUUGUAGUCC